rnacentral:rRNA from 1 species
CUGGAUUAGUGGCGAACGGGUGAGUAACACGUGAGCAAUCUGCCCCUGACUCUGGGAUAACUCCGAGAAAUCGGUGCUAAUACCGGAUACGAACUGAGACCGCAUGGUCAUCGGUUGGAAAGAACUUCGGUCAGGGAUGAGCUCGCGGCCUAUCAGCUAGUUGGUGAGGUAAUGGCUCACCAAGGCGACGACGGGUAGCCGGCCUGAGAGGGUGACCGGCCACACUGGGACUGAGACACGGCCCAGACUCC